UACGUAGGGUGCGAGCGUUAAUCGGAAUUACUGGGCGUAAAGCGUGCGCAGGCGGUUUUGUAAGCCAGAUGUGAAAUCCCCGGGCUUAACCUGGGAAUGGCAUUUGGGACUGCAAGGCUCGAGUGCGGCAGAGGAGACUGGAAUUCCUGGUGUAGCAGUGAAAUGCGUAGAGAUCCGGAAGAACACCGGUGGCGAAGGCGGCCUGCUGGGCAGUGGCUGACACUGAGGCGCGACAGCGUGGGGAGCAAACAGG
rnacentral:rRNA from 1 species